CUCAAUCUCUCAACAUUACUUCCAUACUUAACUUUACUCGGCUCUACCCACCCACCCCGGUUCCUUCUAACUACAUAGCAUGCACCUCCAGCUGUUUAAAACCACACCAAACACCUCCCUAUUACCUUCACAUAUUAUCAGCAGUUAUACCAUUAACUUUCUCUGCCAUCACAUACAAAUUCCUCUGUUACCUCUUGUCUCAUACCCCCAUAUCAACCUUUAGAUUGUAAGCUCAUGGGCAGGGCCCUCUACCUGUUGUA